rnacentral:rRNA from 1 species
CCUACGGGAGGCUGCAGUGAGGAAUAUUGGUCAAUGGACGAGAGUCUGAACCAGCCAAGUAGCGUGAAGGAUGACUGCCCUAUGGGUUGUAAACUUCUUUUAUAUGGGAAUAAAAUGUUCCACGUGUGGGAUUUUGUAUGUACCAUAUGAAUAAGGAUCGGCUAACUCCGUGCCAGCAGCCGCGGUAAUCCGGCGGAUCCGAGCGUUAUCCGGAUUUAUUGGGUUUAAGGGGAGCGUAGGUGGAUUGUUAAGUCAGUUGUGAAAGUUUGCGGCUCAACCGUAAAAUUGCAGUUGAAACUGGCAGUCUUGAGUACAGUAGAGGUGGGCGGAAUUCGUGGUGUAGCGGUGAAAUGCUUAGAUAUCACGAAGAACUCCGAUUGCGAAGGCAGUUCACUGGACUGCAACUGACACUGAGGCUCGAAAGUGUGGGUAUCAAACAGGAUUAGAGCCCCUGGUAGUC